UGGAAAUAAAACAUGGUCAACGG
rnacentral:siRNA from 1 species